AGCGAACGCUGGCGGCAGGCUUAACACAUGCAAGUCGAGCGGGCGUAGCAAUACGUCAGCGGCAGACGGGUGAGUAACGCGUGGGAACAUACCUUUUGGUUCGGAACAACACAGGGAAACUUGUGCUAAUACCGGAUAAGCCCUUACGGGGAAAGAUUUAUCGCCGAAAGAUUGGCCCGCGUCUGAUUAGCUAGUUGGUGAGGUAACGGCUCACCAAGGCGACGAUCAGUAGCNGGUCUGAGAGGAUGAUCAGCCACAUUGGGACUGAGACACGGCCCAAACUCCUACGGGAGGCAGCAGUGGGGAAUAUUGGACAAUGGGCGCAAGCCUGAUCCAGCCAUGCCGCGUGAGUGAUGAAGGCCUUAGGGUUGUAAAGCUCUUUCGCACGCGAAGAUAAAUGACGGUAGCGUGAGAAGAAGCCCCGGCUAACUUCGUGCCAGCAGCCGCUGUAAU
rnacentral:rRNA from 1 species